rnacentral:rRNA from 1 species
AGACCCGAAACCCGGUGAUCUAGCCAUGGGCAGGUUGAAGGUUGGGUAACACUAACUGGAGGACCGAACCGACUAAUGUUGAAAAAUUAGCGGAUGACCUGUGGCUGGGGGUGAAAGGCCAAUCAAACCGGGAGAUAGCUGGUUCUCCCCGAAAGCUAUUUAGGUAGCGCCUCGUGAAUUCAUCUCCGGGGGUAGAGCACUGUUUCGGCUAGGGGGCCAUCCCGGCUUACCAACCCGAUGCAAACUGCGAAUACCGGAGAAUGUUAUCACGGGAGACACACGGCGGGUGCUAACGUCCGUCGUGAAGAGGGAAACAACCCAGACCGCCAGCUAAGGUCCCAAAGUCAUGGUUAAGUGGGAAACGAUGUGGGAAGGCCCAGACAGCCAGGAUGUUGGCUUAGAAGCAGCCAUCAUUUAAAGAAAGCGUAAUAGCUCACUGGUCGAGUCGGCCUGCGCGGAAGAUGUAACGGGGCUAAACCAUGCACCGAAGCUGCGGCAGCGACGCUGAUGCGUUGUUGGGUAGGGGAGCGUUCUGUAAGCCUGCGAAGGUGACCUGUGAGGGUUGCUGGAGGUAUCAGAAGUGCGAAUGCUGACAUAAGUAACGAUAAAGCGGGUGAAAAGCCCGCUCGCCGGAAGACCAAGGGUUCCUGUCCAACGUUAAUCGGGGCAGGGUGAGUCGACCCCUAAGGCGAGGCCGAAAGGCGUAGUCGAUGGGAAACGGGUUAAUAUUCCCGUACUUGGUGUUACUGCGAAGGGGGGACGGAGAAGGCUAUGUUGGCCGGGCGACGGUUGUCCCGGUUUAAGCGUGUAGGUGUGUGUUCCAGGUAAAUCCGGUUCACUUUAACACUGAGGCGUGAUGACGAGGCACUACGGUGCUGAAGCAACAAAUGCCCUGCUUCCAGGAAAAGCCUCUAAGCAUCAGGUAACAUCAAAUCGUACCCCAAACCGACACAGGUGGUCAGGUAGAGAAUACCAAGGCGCUUGAGAGAACUCGGGUGAAGGAACUAGGCAAAAUGGUGCCGUAACUUCGGGAGAAGGCACGCUGACACGUAGGUGAAGUGAUUUACUCACGGAGCUGAAGUCAGUCGAAGAUACCAGCUGGCUGCAACUGUUUAUUAAAAACACAGCACUGUGCAAACACGAAAGUGGACGUAUACGGUGUGACGCCUGCCCGGUGCCGGAAGGUUAAUUGAUGGGGUCAGCGCAAGCGAAGCUCCUGAUCGAAGCCCCGGUAAACGGCGGCCGUAACUAUAACGGUCCUAAGGUAGCGAAAUUCCUUGUCGGGUAAGUUCCGACCUGCACGAAUGGCGUAAUGAUGGCCAGGCUGUCUCCACCCGAGACUCAGUGAAAUUGAACUCGCUGUGAAGAUGCAGUGUACCCGCGGCAAGACGGAAAGACCCCGUGAACCUUUACUAUAGCUUGACACUGAACAUUGAGCCUUGAUGUGUAGGAUAGGUGGGAGGCUUUGAAGUGUGGACGCCAGUCUGCAUGGAGCCGACCUUGAAAUACCACCCUUUAAUGUUUGAUGUUCUAACGUGGACCCGUAAUCCGGGUUGCGGACAGUGUCUGGUGGGUAGUUUGACUGGGGCGGUCUCCUCCUAAAGAGUAACGGAGGAGCACGAAGGUUGGCUAAUCCUGGUCGGACAUCAGGAGGUUAGUGCAAUGGCAUAAGCCAGCUUGACUGCGAGCGUGACGGCGCGAGCAGGUGCGAAAGCAGGUCAUAGUGAUCCGGUGGUUCUGAAUGGAAGGGCCAUCGCUCAACGGAUAAAAGGUACUCCGGGGAUAACAGGCUGAUACCGCCCAAGAGUUCAUAUCGACGGCGGUGUUUGGCACCUCGAUGUCGGCUCAUCACAUCCUGGGGCUGAAGUAGGUCCCAAGGGUAUGGCUGUUCGCCAUUUAAAGUGGUACGCGAGCUGGGUUUAGAACGUCGUGAGACAGUUCGGUCCCUAUCUGCCGUGGGCGCUGGAGAACUGAGGGGGGCUGCUCCUAGUACGAGAGGACCGGAGUGGACGCAUCACUGGUGUUCGGGUUGUCAUGCCAAUGGCACUGCCCGGUAGCUAAAUGCGGAAGAGAUAAGUGCUGAAAGCAUCUAAGCACGAAACUUGCCCCGA